GAUGCCAGGGUCAAAAGCCUGAAACCACGAUGUGCUUGCACAGGAGUGGUUUUAUGGCUUAAUGACCCGCCCCGAUAUGAGCAUAAAAGUGGAGCGAAAGCUUCACGAUAUGCGAAUAUUGGGUAGGAUUGUGGGAGUACGAAGUACGAAACAAUCCGUAAGG
rnacentral:sRNA from 1 species